GUCUUCAGGUAUGCUCUUGUUUUUGUUUGCUUUUUGUGUUGUCAGUUAUGGUUUGUUUGUUUGGUUUUCAAACUCAAUGACUCUUCUUUUUUUGCCAGUGACUUUCACCAAUGAGAGAGGAAGACCUUAUGGUGUAGGAAGCCUCUCUCAGUCGCAUGUCAAUGGCAAAAGGAAGUACUCUGGAAGCACUUUUGCAUUCAACACUCUGCAAGAUCAGUUACAACAAGCUCAACAAAAGAUAGAAGAACAGGUGGCUGAGAAUGCAAGGCGUGAAGCAGAACUUACCAAGGUUGUAGCUGCCCAACAAGCCAAGAUCGAGCAAUUGACAUUGCUCGAAAGGUAUCUAAGUGAAACUGAUCCAAGGUUCUUGGACUUCAAGGCUGCUAACUCUGUUCCCACGUCUUCACCUCCAACCCCUGCUCCAAC
rnacentral:lncRNA from 1 species